AUUGAACGCUGGCGGCAGGCUUAACACAUGCAAGUCGAGCGGGGUGAUGGUGCUUGCACUAUCACUUAGCGGCGGACGGGUGAGUAAUGCUUAGGAAUCUGCCUAUUAGUGGGGGACAACAUCUCGAAAGGGAUGCUAAUACCGCAUACGUCCUACGGGAGAAAGCAGGGGAUCACUUGUGACCUUGCGCUAAUAGAUGAGCCUAAGUCGGAUUAGCUAGUUGGUGGGGUAAAGGCCUACCAAGGCGACGAUCUGUAGCGGGUCUGAGAGGAUGAGCUGCCACACUGGACUGAGACACGGCCCAGACUCCUACGGGAGGCAGCAGUGGGGAAUAUUGGACAAUGGGGGGAGACCUGAGCCAGCCAUGCCGCGUUUGUGAAGAAGGCCUUAUGGUUGUAAAGCACUUUAAGCGAGGAGGAGGCUCUUUUGGUUAAUACCCAAGAUGAGUGGACGUUACUCGCAGAAUAAGCACCGGCUAACUCUGUGCCAGCCGCCGCCGUAA
rnacentral:rRNA from 1 species